UGAGGAUGUUUAAACUACGAUACAGAAAAGUCGUGAAUAUACGAUGGUUAGGAUUUAGAUAAGCUUCUUUUAUCAAUUUACUUGGACAUAUAAGAAGAAAUUGUGAAUCCUUGAUUUGGUUGCUGCAAAGGAGCAAUCUUUUCGUACUUUUUAGCUGCUGAGAUGCUGAAUUAAUUUUUCAGCACUGUGAUGAACAGUUGAGGAUGUUUGAACCUAUGUUGCUCGGACUCUUCAAAAGUGUCAUCUGGUGCUUGUUGGAUCCUUCAAAAAUAGUGCAUUUUUUGAGGAUCCGACACGGGUACGGCAAUUUCAAUAGAGUCUGAGCAAAUUAGGAUUGAACUAUGAUACAGCCAGAGUCAUGAAUACACAAUAGUUAAGAUUUAGAUGGAUUCUUUUAUUAAUUUACUAGGACAUGUACGAAUUUGUGAAACCUUGAUUUGGUUGCAGCAAAUGAGUAAUUCUUUUCAAAUUUUUUUGCAGCUGAGAUCCACUGAAUUACAUUUUCAAGAUUCUGGGUGAUCAUUUGGUACUGAGGUGUUGUUAUUGUUGUUUUUCUGGGUGAUCAUUUGUACAACCAUAAGCUUAGUAGCGAUUUAUAAAUCUGGGUACUGAGGAAUAUACGAAAUGUGUCAGUAUCAUAGACAUUUAACAUCUUAAAGCAAAGCGCCAAAAAUAUAAACAGCUUUAUCUAAGUCGAAUCAUGAAUUAUGGACUUUACUGUUUUGAGUUAUGUUGGACAAAAUCUCACUUGAAAAGAAAGGUUAAAUUUUUUGGAAGUAUGUCAGUUAUUAUCUGGAAGACUAUUUAUGUUGUCGGUACAAUCUUCUGUAUGCUUUUAUUCCAACAGCUGAUUGUUACGUAAACUACAGAGCCUACAAUUUAUAAAUGGGUUCAAAAGCAAUUGAAGAUUUGUUAGAGGCGUCAUCAGGAGUACAUUAUUCUUGAUUCCAUUUAGAAGAGCCACAUACUUCAAAGACUGAUCAACCAACAACUUCUAUGGAUGGAAGUGUUAAGCACCCUUUUGUCAUAGUGACUUUGUAUCUCAUCUUCGUGGAUUUAAACUGUUGAUCUUGCGUCACACACUAAGUUGCGCGAACUCUUCACUUUUGAUGCCGCACCCGUGUUGGAUUCUUCAAAAACACACUACUUUUGGCAAAUCCAACAUGCAUCCGCUGACAUUUUUUAGAAGUCCGAGCAACAUAGGUCACACACACACGAUUUUAAGAGCUGAUGUUUUACAUAUUCCAAUAUUGUCUAAUCUAAGAGGUUUGGACCUGUCAAAACACAUAUUGGUUUGACAUUUAAUGUUGAGAAAAUAAGUAUGUUGAAUUGGUCCUAGAGGUAAACGUUCUGCUAGAUUAUUCACCUGCACAUGCUCUAGCUAUCAGACAAUAAUGCAUGGCGACUACAGCACAACCUAUGACAUAUAGGUUUCAGAAUGGAGGAGAAGCAAAAACUGACAACGUAGUAGUUUAAUUCUCAAAUUACCUUUUAAAUUUGCAUAUUACUGAUUUUCUAUCUUUGUUAUCUCUGGUUACUGCAAGUUGAGCAGGAUAGAUGAGCCUAUAAUUCUGUUUGACGAGGUGGUCACUGAUGGUAUUAGUCCAAAUCUGAUUACUUUUAACAUUCUCAUUAAUGAUUUUGGCAAGAUAAGUUACAUACUUUCCACUAAAAAAUUAUUUGGCUGAAUGUGGGUUGUGGGUAACUAGCCUGAUGUUGUCACCUAUUGAACUGUCGGACAGGAGAUUUCAAGUUCGGUGAUGAAAUGAAUAUCCAAAAAUUGUCUCUGAACUUAUAUAUUUACUUUUUCUUAUUAUCCAUGCCUUAAGCAAGGAGAAUAAGCUAAAUGAAGUUCGGAAAUUAUUGAGGCAAUUAAGAUUUGAGGGAUGAUAUCGUUUCCCAGUUAUUUAUAUGCAUCCUUGUGUUUGAUGAGUUUUGCAGGAAUUGUAAUUGAGUGAAGCAAAUGUGAUUGCAACAGAAAUGGAGAGCCGAGGGUGUUUCUAUGAUAAAAUCAGCUUCAGAAUUCUCAUUCUCGGGCAUUGCAUUAAAAAAAAAGAAUGCUUGAAGCUAUGACCAUUCCUGAUAAGAUGCUGUCAUCGGAUUCCGUUCAAAUGAUAUCACAGAAUUGAAUUUGGAAGGCUCAUUUCAUCACAGGAAUUGAAUUCAGAUUUAUCAUCUUCAAGGCAAUUUGUACCGUUCAGGACAAGUUUGGACAUCCCACUGCGCUCACUCAAGGAAGAUGUGGAUCGUUGUUCCCUUCAAGUGCUUCACUAUUUAAGAAUACUGGAAGAUCACCUUAAAUUUUAAGUAAAACAUACAAUUGAGAUGAACUACAUUUACAUCACUUUGUUGAGAUGCAGAUAGUGGUAUAUUUGUUGUCAAAUGCAGUGGUUGGUGGUGGCUCGGUGUUAUGAUAGUAGUGUGGAAUUUUCGAAGUAAAGGAUACUCAUUGUUGCAGUAGGUGUCAUUUGGAGCAGAU